AUGGCUGUCGUCAGCUCGUGCCGUGAGGUGUUGCCUUAAGUGGCGCAACGAGCGCAACCCCUGUCCUUAGUUGCCAGCGGGUAAUGCCGGGAACUCUAGGGAGACUGCCGGUGCCAAACCGGAGGAAGGUGGGGAUGACGUCAAGUCAUCAUGCCCCUUAUGCCCAGGGCUGCACACAUGCUACAAUGCGCGAUACAGAGGGUUGCGAUCCCGCAAGGGGGAGCGAAUCCCAAAAAGUCGCGCUCAGUUCGGAUCGGGGUCUGCAACUCGACCCCGUGAAGUCGGAGUCGCUAGUAAUCGCAGAUCAGCAAUGCUGCGGUGAAUACGUUCCCGGGCCUUGUACACACCGCCCGUCACACCACGAAAGCGGGCAACACCCGAAGCCGGUGGCCUAACCCCUCGGGGAGGGAGCCGUCGAAGGUGGGGCUCGUGAUUGGGGUGAAGUCGUAACAAGGUAGCCGUACCGGAAGGUGCGGCUGGAUCACCUCCUUUCUAGGGAGCUCUUCUCACGAGGAGCAACCGUCAGGCCGCCUCUCGAGGCGCUCUGACGACCUAGCAUGUCGACCGGACCUGGUCGACCCGCGGUCGCUUCGGCGAUCGCCCACUCACGCUGUUGAGUUUUGAGAGACCGGCCGCGCCGGCGCCUCCCGUACGGAUGGAGAUGCCAGCGUGGUCCGCGCCCCUCGCCGGACCUUGAAAACUGCACAGCUGGCCAACAUCAAUUCGGGUAUCACCUCCCGGACGUUCGCGUCCGGGUUGAUCACCGUCAAGAUAGUAAGGGCACACGGUGGAUGCCUAGGCACCAGGAGUCGAUGAAGGGCGUGGACGACUGCGAUAAGCCACGGUGAGGCGUUGAACGGCCUUUGACCCGUGGAUUCCCGAAUGGGGAAACCCGG
rnacentral:sRNA from 1 species